rnacentral:tRNA from 1 species
GAGGCUUAGCUCAGUUGGUUAGAGCAAUCGGCUCAUAACCGAUCGGUCCCGGGUUCGAGUCCCUGAGCCUCC